CAGUCGCCGCGGUAAUGCGUAGGUGGCAAGCGUUGUCCGGAAUUAUUGGGCGUAAAGCGCGCGCAGGUGGUUUAAUAAGUCUGAUGUGAAAGCCCACGGCUCAACCGUGGAGGGUCAUUGGAAACUGUUAAACUUGAGUGCAGGAGAGAAAAGUGGAAUUCCUAGUGUAGCGGUGAAAUGCGUAGAGAUUAGGAGGAACACCAGUGGCGAAGGCGGCUUUUUGGCCUGUAACUGACACUGAGGCGCGAAAGCGUGGGGAGCAAACAGGAUUAGAUACCCCAGUAGUCCCUGUCUCUUAUAC
rnacentral:rRNA from 1 species